CCAUGCAGUCGAGCGGUAACAGGUCUAGCUUGCUAGACGCUGACGAGCGGCGGACGGGUGAGUAAUGCAUAGGAAUCUGCCCGAUAGUGGGGGAUAACCUGGGGAAACCCAGGCUAAUACCGCAUACGUCCUACGGGAGAAAGGGGGCUUCGGCUCGCGCUAUCGGAUGAGCCUAUGUCGGAUUAGCUAGUUGGUGGGGUAAUGGCCCACCAAGGCGACGAUCCGUAGCUGGUCUGAGAGGAUGAUCAGCCACAUCGGGACUGAGACACGGCCCGAACUCCUACGGGAGGCAGCAGUGGGGAAUAUUGGACAAUGGGGGCAACCCUGAUCCAGCCAUGCCGCGUGUGUGAAGAAGGCCUUCGGGUUGUAAAGCACUUUCAGCGAGGAAGAACGCCAGGGAAUUAAUACCUCCCUGGAAAGACAUCACUCGCAGAAGAAGCACCGGCUAACUCCGUGCCAGCAGCCGCGGUAAUACGGAGGGUGCAAGCGUUAAUCGGAAUUACUGGGCGUAAAGCGCGCGUAGGUGGCUUGAUAAGCCGGUUGUGAAAGCCCCGGGCUCAACCUGGGAACGGCAUCCGGAACUGUCAAGCUAGAGUGCAGGAGAGGAAGGUAGAAUUCCCGGUGUAGCGGUGAAAUGCGUAGAGAUCGGGAGGAAUACCAGUGGCGAAGGCGGCCUUCUGGACUGACACUGACACUGAGGUGCGAAAGCGUGGGUAGCAAACAGGAUUAGAUACCCUGGUAGUCCACGCCGUACACGAUGUCGACCAGCCGUUGGGUGCCUAGCGCACUUUGUGGCGAAGUUAACGCGAUAAGUCGACCGCCUGGGGAGUACGGCCGCAAGGUUAAAACUCAAAUGAA
rnacentral:rRNA from 1 species